ACGAACGCUGGCGGCAGGCCUAACACAUGCAAGUCGAGCGCGAGAUUUCUUUCGGGAAAUUGAAAGCGGCGAACGGGUGAGUAAUGCAUGGGAACGUGCCCUGUGGUGGGGAACAACCGUUGGAAACGACGGCUAAUACCGCAUAAGCCCUUCGGGGGAAAGCUUUAUGCGCCAUAGGAGCGGCCCAUGUUGGAUUAGGUAGUUGGUGGGGUAAAGGCCUACCAAGCCUACGAUCCAUAGCUGGUCUGAGAGGAUGAUCAGCCACACUGGAACUGAGAUACGGUCCAGACUCCUACGGGAGGCAGCAGUGGGGAAUAUUGCGCAAUGGGGGAAACCCUGACGCAGCCAUGCCGCGUGAGUGAAGAAGGCCUUCGGGUUGUAAAACUCUUUCGCCUGUGAAGAUGAUGACUGUAACAGGAGAAGAAGCUCCGGCUAACUUCGU
rnacentral:rRNA from 1 species